UACGUAGGGACCGAGCGUUGUCCGGAUUCAUUGGGCGUAAAGAGCUCGUAGGCGGCCACUCAAGUCGAAUGUGAAACCUCGAGGCUCAACCUCGAGCCUGCAUUCGAUACUGGGCGGCUAGAGUCUGGUAGGGGGAUCUGGAAUUCCUGGUGUAGCGGUGGAAUGCGCAGAUAUCAGGAGGAACACCGGUGGCGAAGGCGGGUCUCUGGGCCGUAACUGACGCUGAGGAGCGAAAGCAUGGGGAGCGAACAGG
rnacentral:rRNA from 1 species